rnacentral:rRNA from 1 species
AUUGAACGCUGGCGGCAUGCCUUACACAUGCAAGUCGAACGGCAGCGGACCUUCGGGUACCGGCGAGUGGCGAACGGGUGAGUAAUAUAUCGGAACGUACCUUUCAGUGGGGGAUAACGUAGCGAAAGUUACGCUAAUACCGCAUAUUCUGUGAGCAGGAAAGCAGGGGAUCGCAAGACCUUGCGCUGAUUGAGCGGCCGAUAUCAGAUUAGCUAGUUGGUGAGGUAAAGGCUCACCAAGGCGACGAUCUGUAGCGGGUCUGAGAGGAUGAUCCGCCACACUGGAACUGAGACACGGUCCAGACUCCUACGGGAGGCAGCAGUGGGGAAUUUGGACAAUGGGCGCAAGCCUGAUCCAGCCAUGCCGCGUGCAGGAAGAAGGCC